UUGGAGGGCAAGUCUGGUGCCAGCAGCCGCGGUAAUUCCAGCUCCAAUAGCGUAUAUUAAAGUUGUUGCAGUUAAAAAGCUCGUAGUUGAAUUUCGGAAUCCAUCCGUCGGUCGGGCCUCACGGUCCGCACUGGUGUGAUGGAUUUCUACCUUCUGAAUAACCAGCAUGUCAUUAAUUUGGUGCGUUGGGGAAGCAGGACUGUUACCUUGAAAAAAUUAGAGUGCUUAAAGCAGGCUAGUGCCUGAAUACAUUAGCAUGGAAUAAUGAAAUAGGACGGCAUGGUUCUAUUUUGUUGGUUUCUAGGAUCACCGUAAUGAUUAAUAGGGAUAGUUGGGGGCAUUAGUAUUCAAUUGUCAGAGGUGAAAUUCUUGGAUUUAUUGAAGACUAACUUCUGCGAAAGCAUUUGCCAAGGAUGUUUUCAUUAAUCAAGAACGAAAGUUAGGGGAUCGAAGACGAUCAGAUACCGUCGUAGUCUUAACCAUAAACUAUGCCGACUAGGGAUCGGACGAUGUUAAUUUUUUAAUGACUCGUUCGGCGCCUUACGGGAAAC
rnacentral:rRNA from 2 species